GCCCUGGUAGCUUACACCUACAAAGCAUUGUUCUUGUAAACCAAAGACGGGCUCUGCCCCCAGAGCA
rnacentral:tRNA from 1 species